AUAAGGUCGUCCAGGUUAAAACCAAAUGAUUGAUGGAAAGUCAACUUAGAGACGCAUCACGAGUAAAUGGGAGUAUAGGCUGUGAGGGAAAAGUAUCACAAGGGUGGUAUGCAAAUUGCGGAGUCCUAAGAGAUUCAACACUCAGUCUAAAAUGUUCCCCUUUUCAAGAGAACCGCUCUUCGAUGGAGCGCGUGUGUUUAUUUAGCACACGUUUAUCAAGAUGAGUGUGAUACGGCUUUUGCCCUUGAGGAACUUACAGUAAAAACAGGCUCAUAAAGGAAUGAUCACGGUUCAGAAACAACAGCUAACAUUUACUAUAAACCAGUCAUCUGCAGGUGCUUUGCCUGCCAAUCACCUCAUCCGGUUUCACAGGAAUGAUUGAAAGUGGAUUUGACUUUUGUAUCCAUUCUACAGAUGUGGAAACUGAGAGAAAGGGAGAUGAAGUAACCCAGCUGGCUGUAGUGGAGCCAGGAUUCAGAACCCAGGCACUGGAGCUUUGAAGCCGGGUUCUAGUAGCAAAGUAUACACAGGCCCAGGGGAGAACAGGAGAUAUGGCUCACAUAUCAGCCAGGAACCCUUCCUUUGCUUGUUGAGAAGUAACACAAUGAAGAUUCAAGGUGCUUUGUGUAGGGCUAAAGUUAUCCAGCGAGUGGCUUCUGUUGUAAGAAAACCAAUAUCACGUCCAUCCUGAAGCCUGGUCCUCCAGAAUUCUUGGCAAUUAUGAGAGUUACCCAGGACCUUCUCAGCAAAUUCCCUUUGUGCCUGCAUCAGCCACAGCGCAUUUCUGGUUCCUACACUUAAGAACUCUGUCUAGUAGGGUGCAAGUGUAGUGCCAGCUCUUAUUAUUAUUCUCCCAUUUCUGUUUCUGUUUGAACUGGCACUUAUCUUCCUAAACUUGUUUCAUUCACAAAUUAAAUAGCGUCUGACACUCCGUCUUCCUCGAAAAGCCUCUCCUGACUAAUUGGGAAGUGCCAAUUUCUUCUCCCAUCUCGGGUGCCAGCAACUUCUCAGCCUUACUUGUCACUGCCUUCCACCAUCCUCAGAGCAGCAGCGGGACAACUGCCGCUGUUCUCACAUAGGUGAUUCAUCUGUCAGGGGUUUACAGAGUUGUCAGUGUUUGUUCGUGUCAACAUCGCCUACUAUAGAGCCCGAGUGCACGGUGGACACAGAUGGUGUUGAUUUAAUUGAUUUUUCGAACAGCACGUGGUCGUUCGCUUGAUUCAGGUGAGUACAUCAGCCUUUUGAUGAUGACGAACAAUUCAGAUAUUGGGUGGAGACAGGCAGUUGGUGGCCAGACAAACUUGCUUUAAAGGAGGUUAUCUGAACCGAGCUGUGUCUCCGGCUUCUCUCAUCAGCAUCUGAGAAGUCUCCUGGGAGCGAUUGGCGUAAUGGAAAAAAUGG